rnacentral:rRNA from 2 species
CGCUGGCGGCGUGCCUAAUACAUGCAAGUCGAACGAGUUCUCGUUGAUGAUCGGUGCUUGCACCGAGAUUCAACAUGGAACGAGUGGCGGACGGGUGAGUAACACGUGGGUAACCUGCCCUUAAGUGGGGGAUAACAUUUGGAAACAGAUGCUAAUACCGCAUAGAUCCAAGAACCGCAUGGUUCUUGGCUGAAAGAUGGCGUAAGCUAUCGCUUUUGGAUGGACCCGCGGCGUAUUAGCUAGUUGGUGAGGUAAUGGCUCACCAAGGCGAUGAUACGUAGCCGAACUGAGAGGUUGAUCGGCCACAUUGGGACUGAGACACGGCCCAAACUCCUACGGGAGGCAGCAGUAGGGAAUCUUCCACAAUGGACGCAAGUCUGAUGGAGCAACGCCGCGUGAGUGAAGAAGGCUUUCGGGUCGUAAAACUCUGUUGUUGGAGAAGAAUGGUCGGCAGAGUAACUGUUGUCGGCGUGACGGUAUCCAACCAGAAAGCCACGGCUAACUACGUGCCAGCAGCCGCGGUAAUACGUAGGUGGCAAGCGUUAUCCGGAUUUAUUGGGCGUAAAGCGAGCGCAGGCGGUUUUUUAAGUCUGAUGUGAAAGCCCUCGGCUUAACCGAGGAAGCGCAUCGGAAACUGGGAAACUUGAGUGCAGAAGAGGACAGUGGAACUCCAUGUGUAGCGGUGAAAUGCGUAGAUAUAUGGAAGAACACCAGUGGCGAAGGCGGCUGUCUGGUCUGUAACUGACGCUGAGGCUCGAAAGCAUGGGUAGCGAACAGGAUUAGAUACCCUGGUAGUCCAUGCCGUAAACGAUGAAUGCUAGGUGUUGGAGGGUUUCCGCCCUUCAGUGCCGCAGCUAACGCAUUAAGCAUUCCGCCUGGGGAGUACGACCGCAAGGUUGAAACUCAAAGGAAUUGACGGGGGCCCGCACAAGCGGUGGAGCAUGUGGUUUAAUUCGAAGCAACGCGAAGAACCUUACCAGGUCUUGACAUCUUUUGAUCACCUGAGAGAUCAGGUUUCCCCUUCGGGGGCAAAAUGACAGGUGGUGCAUGGUUGUCGUCAGCUCGUGUCGUGAGAUGUUGGGUUAAGUCCCGCAACGAGCGCAACCCUUAUGACUAGUUGCCAGCAUUUAGUUGGGCACUCUAGUAAGACUGCCGGUGACAAACCGGAGGAAGGUGGGGAUGACGUCAAAUCAUCAUGCCCCUUAUGACCUGGGCUACACACGUGCUACAAUGGAUGGUACAACGAGUUGCGAGACCGCGAGGUCAAGCUAAUCUCUUAAAGCCAUUCUCAGUUCGGACUGUAGGCUGCAACUCGCCUACACGAAGUCGGAAUCGCUAGUAAUCGCGGAUCAGCACGCCGCGGUGAAUACGUUCCCGGGCCUUGUACACACCGCCCGUCACACCAUGAGAGUUUGUAACACCCGAAGCCGGUGGCGUAACCCUUUUAGGGAGCGAGCCGUCUAAGGUGGG